GUCCUACGGGACGCAGCAGUGGGGAAUAUUGCACAAUGGGGGAAACCCUGAUGCAGCGACGCCGCGUGAGCGAGGAAGUAUUUCGGUAUGUAAAGCUCUGUCAGCAGGGAAGAAGAAUGACGGUACCUGAAGAAGAAGCACCGGCUAACUACGUGCCAGCAGCCGCGGUAAUACGUAGGUGGCGAGCGUUAUCCGGAAUGAUUGGGCGUAAAGGGUGCGCAGGCGGUCCUGCAAGUCUGGAGUGAAACGCAUGAGCUCAACUCAUGCAUGGCUUUGGAAACUGGAGGACUGG
rnacentral:rRNA from 1 species